AACAAAUACAGUUUUAUACUAUUCAUAUCCAACAUUUGAUCAUUCAUCUUAUUUAUUUUUUUAUGAUUAGUAUUUUUAUUAUUAUUAGAUGAUAAAAUAUAAAUAAUACUUUAUAUGUGACUAAUUUUUUAUUUUUUUAUAAUUCGUUUAAAUAAUACGGACGGUCAAACAUUGGACAUGGAUACCACGACUACACUUAUU
rfam:Oryza sativa (indica cultivar-group) chromosome 11, whole genome shotgun sequence.